GGUCAAGCGAACAAGUGCACAUGGUGGAUGCCUUGGCACAGACCGGCGACGAAGGACGUGGCAAGCUGCGAAAAGCCUCGGGGAGCUGCAAGCAAGCUUGGAUCCGAGGAUAUCCGAAUGGGGGAACCCGGCGGGAGCAAUCCCGUCACCCCGCAAGGGGAGCCAACCCAGGGAACUGAAACAUCUAAGUACCUGGAGGAACAGAAAUCAAUCGAGAUUCCCGGAGUAGCGGCGAGCGAAAAGGGAAGAGCCCAAACCCGGGCGAGGUGACUCGCCUGGGGGUUGUGGGGCUGCAUCACGCAGGCAGACCGAAGCAUAGCGGAGCGGUACUGGAACGUACGACCAUAGAGGGUGAGAGUCCCGUACGCGAAAUGCAAGUAGGCGAGCCGAUGCGGACCCCGAGUAGGCCGGGACACGUGAAAUCCUGGCUGAAACUGGGAGGACCAUCUUCCAAGGCUAAAUACGAGUCUGUGACCGAUAGUGAAGAGUACCGUGAGGGAAAGGUGAAAAGAACG
rnacentral:rRNA from 1 species